rnacentral:rRNA from 1 species
AGGACGAACGCUGGCGGCGCGCUUAACACAUGCAAGUCGAACGGUGAACCGGGCUUCGGCCCGGGGAUCAGUGGCGAACGGGUGCGUAACACGUGGGCAACCUGCCCCUCACUCUGGGAUAACCCCGGGAAACCGGAGCUAAUACCGGAUACUCCGAACGGUCCGCAUGGUCCGAUCGGGAAAGGUCCGCCGGUGAGGGAUGGGCCCGCGGCCUAUCAGCUUGUUGGUGAGGUAACGGCUCACCAAGGCGACGACGGGUAGCUGGUCUGAGAGGACGACCAGCCACACUGGGACUGAGAUACGGCCCAGACUCCUACGGGAGGCAGCAGUGGGGAAUCUUGCGCAAUGGGCGAAAGCCUGACGCAGCGACGCCGCGUGGGGGAUGAAGGCCCUCGGGUUGUAAACCCCUUUCGGCAGGGACGAAGCGGUUUCGUGACGGUACCUGCAGAAGAAGCCUCGGCUAACUACGUGCCAGCAGCCGCGGUAAGACGUAGGAGGCGAGCGUUGUCCGGAUUCAUUGGGCGUAAAGAGCACGCAGGCGGUUUGGCAAGUCGGAUGUGAAAACCCGGAGCUCAACUCCGGGCCUGCAUCCGAAACUGCCCGACUAGAGGUAGGUAGGGGAGAUCGGAAUUCCUGGUGUAGCGGUGAAAUGCGCAGAUAUCAGGAGGAGCACCGGUGGCGAAGGCGGAUCUCUGGGCCUUACCUGACGCUCAGGUGCGAAAGCUAGGGGAGCGAACAGGAUUAGAUACCCUGGUAGUCCUAGCCGUAAACGUUGGGUGCUAGGUGUGGGCGGACAUCAACCCCGUCCGUGCCGAAGCUAACGCAUUAAGCACCCCGCCUGGGGAGUACGGCCGCCAGGCUAAAACUC